CUUGAGCCGAAGGCAGCAGCUUAACCCACUGAGCCACCCAGGUGCCCCUAUAUUGGUUUUUUAUCCUAUGACCUUACUCGAUUUAUCAGUUCUAGUAGAUACUAAAAUCAUGAAGAGAAAAAUCAUAGACAUUUAAAUUUAGAAGGAACCAAAAUCAGUUCAUCAAAUUCCAAAAUGGCUGAAGAUGGGAGAGGUAAAGUGACUUACAAAGUUAACAUAGAGCCAUACCUAAACCUAGGUCUUCUCACAUUCCAAUUUCCUUGUGCUCUACAGUUUAAAAUACAAAAUUACUAUAUUGGACUUUAUCUUAAUAUAUCUGAAGCUUAUUAGAAGGAAUGAGGUUUGCUGUUAUCUGCCUCAGGCCAUAUUGGACACGUCAUGUGUCUGCUCAGCAGAGCCACUGCCAGAGAAAGUGCAUAUUUAUCCUACAAUUUCCAGUUAGUUUUUUCACCCUUUAUAGUUAGUUCUUCAUAUACCUCAAGCAUUACUAUAGGAGUUAACUUUGUUGAAUAUUGUGAUUUAAAUCACUGACUUGAAGCCUUCAAUUUUAACCAAUAGAAACUCUCUACAAAGUGUCUGCUAUUUAACUGUUUUGUGAUAACUAUGAAAGUAGUAUCUAGGCUUACAACUAGUUUAUUAGGUCAAUAAAUUUUUUUGAAUAAUUAUUCAAAUUUUUUUUGAGACAGGGUAUCAUCUGUCAUUCAAGGUUGAGGAAGUAGAACUCUUUCUCUCAACAAGCUUAUGAAUUAUGUGAACAUAUAUAAUUUAUGGCAAAACAUUCGAUUUGUCCUAAGAGACAUAACAAAGUGUUCCACGGUUUCAAAAUUCAAGUCAGCUACACUUGUUUGAGGAAGAUCUGGAAAGGCUUGAAAGGCUGUAUUGAUCAAAUAUUGGAAGACUAUAAUGGUAAACACACAUACACAUGCAAACCCCAUUAAAUUAGUAAUACUGAUAUUUAAGUAAUAUUAUAUAUUAAAACAAUCUCAGAUAUUUCAUCAAAAGAAUUAAAUUUCUCUGAUACUUAAAAUAUAUUUGUAAUGCAUCUGUGUGUGUGUAUAUAUACAUAUAUAUGUCCUGUAAAUAUGUAAAUAGAUAAAUAUUGGGCAAAAUCACAUCACAGGCAAAUUAGACAAAUCAAGAGAAGUUUUAUUAAAUUUUUAAAAGAUUUAUUUAUUUGAGAGAGAGAGAGAGAGAACACAAGUAGUGAGUAGGGGCAGAGGGAGAAGCAGACCCCCACACUGAGCAGGGAGCCUGAUGUGGGCCUCGAUCCCAGGACCCUGAGAUCCUGACUUGAGCUGAAGGCAGAGGCUUAACCAACUGAGCCACCCAGGUGCCCCUUACUGAUUUUUUUGAUGAAGGACAAUCUUUUUUAUAUAUUGACACAGCACUCAUUAAUUCAUUUGACAAACAUUUACUAAAUAUCUCCUGUGUAUUAAGCAUUGUAUUAUACAUUGGUUAUAUACACUAUCAAAAUAGCAGCUGCUCCUGCUGUCAAGAGGCUUAUAUUCUAGUCCCACGGCAGCCCCAGCACUAGGCUGGGAGAAGACAUCUAGUACGACUGCAGGGCCCACCCUUCAAAACAGGCUUCUCAGGAGACAACUCUGGGAUGUCAUCCUGCAGUUUGGCGCUACUGCAUCUCUGGCAAACACCU
rnacentral:lncRNA from 1 species